rnacentral:rRNA from 1 species
GACGAACGCUGGCGGCGUGCUUAACACAUGCAAGUCGAACGGAAAGGCCCUGCUUUUGUGGGGUGCUCGAGUGGCGAACGGGUGAGUAACACGUGAGUAACCUGCCCUUGACUUUGGGAUAACUUCAGGAAACUGGGGCUAAUACCGGAUAGGAGCUCCUGCUGCAUGGUGGGGGUUGGAAAGUUUCGGCGGUUGGGGAUGGACUCGCGGCUGAUCAGCUUGUUGGUGGGGUAGUGGCUUACCAAGGCUUUGACGGGUAGCCGGCCUGGGAGGGUGACCGGCCACAAUGGGACUGAGAGACGGCCCAGACUGCAACGGGGGGCAACAGGGGGGAAUAUUGCACAAUGGGCGGAAGCCUGAUGCAGCAACGCCGCGUGCGGGAUGACGGCCUUCGGGUUGUAAACCGCUUUCGCCUGUGACGAAGCGUGAGUGACGGUAAUGGGUAAAGAAGCACCGGCUAACUACGUG